ACACAGGACGUGUCACUUCUUAUUUGAAAGGGCACACACACAGCUUCGCUCAGCAACAGUGGCCUGGAUCAGAAGGAGUUUCCAAAUCACGUUCUAUGCGCCCAGAUGUAGAGACCCCAGAACUUCACUCUAUAACUAGAUUGCUCUGCGGAUCUAAUGUGUGGUCUCAACUGUUUAUGGUGUUUGGCUGCAGUCUACAUCCCACUUAUUUUGGAUCAGUCCUACUGAAGUAAAUACAGCUGCAGGAGUGUAAAUGGAUUGUAACUUUUGCACCUCAAUGCCAUUGUCUUGCUAUAGGAGAGGGAGAAAUGGAACUACAUGGCCUCUCCAUCAGCACUCCUGACAGACCUGCUUCACGGGGCUCCUUCCUCAACUGUCAUCUACAGCAUCAGGCUAUAUAUGAGAAAGAGAUGGAGUUUCAAGACCUUUCCAUCUGCUCUGCUGAAAAACAGCCAUUAAAUUUGUAUCCCAUCCUCCCAAAGGAGCCCAGGAUGGCAAACGCAUCUACACUGAAAAUAAAAUUUAAAAUAAAAACAAA